GUGAUUUUACAAUGGCGUCCUGUUGAAUGAUGAUAAGAGACGAUUUACACCCCUUCGGGAGCCAAGUGACGACAUAAGCAGAACGAGAAGUUCAAAUCAGAAAUGGCGUUUUGUUAAAAAUUUAACGUUGUACAACUGUGUAGGCAUAGGAAAUUUAGUUGAAAAUGGCGUCUAAUUCAGAAGACGAAGAAUUACGACGGCGUGAGUAUUGAUUCCUUGUCAUUUGUAGAAGAUUGUAUUAACACUGAUAAUAGUCAUACGUAUGGCGUGUACACGUCUUAUCAAAAGGAAUCUCCACUCAGUUCCUUUUAUAUUAAGGUGUUUUUCUGAUUUCUCAAGGUUACGGAUACAAUUAUACAUAUCAAAGAAUGGUCAACAUCUACGUAUGAGUGCAUUUAGGUUUUCAAGCGCUCAGCUUAGUGUCCGGCUAACACUUUCUGGACAAGGACGUGUCAUGAUCUUAAAACCAGUGUUAAUUUAUUGAGAGUGAUAUUUUUGAAUAUUCAGAUUAUGUUUAAUGUAUUUGUUAGAUGCAAAUUAAUAAACCCAGCUUUUGCGAAGACUUGUUCCUUAAAACUGGUCAGAUCAAUCCAUUAAUAUAUUAUACAAUAAUAUGUCAUUUAGAUAGAUACAUUUCCUCACCA